rnacentral:lncRNA from 1 species
GGUAAAAGAAGAAUUCUCUGAACUCUUCUGCUCUUUGGAAUGAGCAUCUUAACCUCACUGACAAUACUUUGAGACCCUGUCAGAUUAUCAAAGGAGGAAAUGACAAAGAGGUGACAUUUUAAAAAGCCUAAUUUAUUUUAACUUUUAUAUCUAUUUAGUUGUUUUUAGGAAGUAAAGCAUAAUAUUUCAAUAUUAUUGAAAUACAAGAGAGGAUCACCAUGAAUUGAGAUGUACCUGUUCAGAAAUCAUGCUUCCUGCCAUCCAACUGCUAAGAAGUCCUAUUUGAUGUCAGCAUAACUCUUUUACUCAUUCAUUCACUUACUCGUUUAUCAAAUACUUGAGCUUCUGCUUUGUGGAGGACCCAUGACUUGCUUAAAAUGAGGGGAAGCACAAAUCAUAGGAGAAAGCGUGAACCCCUAGGAAGUCCCAGAAGCAAGAGGUGAAGUGCAACAGCUACAGAAGGCUGGGAAACAGCCACCAACACACGGCCUGGCUUGUGAGUUUGUCCUGUGAACAAAUGUGGCACACACCCUAGGAGGAGAAGAGAUGGAGCCCCAAAUGACAGCAGAAUGUAAACAGCAACUCAAAGCUACCCCCAAAAGAAUAUCAUUCAAGUGUUCACUCGGAGCUUUUACCUACAGAAACUGACAUCUUAGCAGCUUAAUAUUCUACAAUGAAGGACAGUUAUACUUUAUAUGCAUAUCUGUCAGGAACAUAAGCCUGAAUUGUUUUCUCUUUUCUCCUGAGAGUUCCAUAUUUUUAACAAGUUCCUCUUUCCAUCUAUAGUUGAUGCCCUGAUUUUCUGCCAUGCUCGAUGCAUUCUUUCAUUAUUUCCAGGACAGUUCCUCCGAAGUAACGCCCUAUCACCACGCCACCUCAUCAUUACCUUGCACAUGGGUAGAAUUCCCUGACAGAGAAAUGUGUAAUUGCACCUUGGUUUUUCAAUGGAAACAUUAAUUGAAUUGAAAAAGAGAAGAGUUAAUCUGACUUAUUAUAGUUACCCCAAACCCUGGCAACUUUCACAGAAAUGAAAUACAUGGGGAAGAAAAAAAUUAUUCUGACUCCAAAGUGCCAAAACAUCAAGAUGAAACAUAAAACAUGAAAAAUGCAGUCCACUGUCCAGAUAUUUUGUCUUUUAAAUGGCAUGCAUGUUGUAUUUGCUAAUUUAGCUGCCUUAAAACAUACAUUAAAAUCUACCUAGAAUACGACAGUGACAUAAAUGUAUUAAUUGUAUGUAACAUUUGUGGAGGUCUUCGUAUUUUCUGAUGUUUUUCACAUGCCAUAUUUGACUAAUAAUCAGUGAGGUAUGAACAUCAAUUCCAUUUUACAGAAGUGGUAAUUGAGGGCCAAGAUGUGAAGGGACCUGCCUCAACUCAAUUGGCAGGAAGUCCAGGCAGGGGAUGAGAUUUCAGUCCAAGUAAGUCACAGGUUCCUGUGAUAAUAUGGUUGUUAUACC